GGGACCCCUCCUCAGCCAUAAGGUGCGGGCGGCACCCCGAGCUUCCCAGGGACCCCAACCCCCCCACACCACCUCCCCCCCCCACCCCCCGGGACCCCCACCCUCCUUGCAGCCCUGCACCGAACCCCAUCACAGCACUGCUGUGGGGUGGGGAUGUGAUGGGGGGGGGGGGCAGCUGCAGCAAAAGGGUCCAAUGGUGUCUGACCCCAAAUUGGGGGCUGACCCCACGGGGACCCCGUAGCAUCCGACCCCACGAGUGGGGGGACCCAAAGGACACCAUACAGCACCCAACCACAGCGGUGGGGGGGACCCCGUGGGCACCCUGUGGUGUCUGACCCCAAAAUUGGGGGCUGAUCCUAUGGGCUCCCUAUGGUGUCUGACCCCAAAAUUGGGGGGUGGUCCUAUGGGCACCCUAUGGUGUCUGACCCCAAAUCGAGGGGUGACCCUACGGAUUCCCCAUGGUGCCCAAACCCAAAGUGGGGGCUGCCCAAAGGGAUACCCCAUAGUGCCUGACCCCAAUCUGGGGCUGACCCCAUGGGUGCCCUAUGUUGCCCCAUCCCAAGCUGGGGGGUGGCCCUAUGGGCACCCUAUGGUGUCUGCCCCCCAAAUUGGGGGGUGGCCCUAUGGGCUCCCUAUGGUGUCUGCCCCCCAAAUUGGGGGGUGGUCCCACUGCCGCCCCGUGGCAUCCGACCCCAAACCGAGGGCUGACCCCACGGCUACCUUAUGGUGCCCAACCCCAAAGCGGGGGAUAACAGCGGGGUGCCCCUCGGUGCCCCACCCCCCGGCACCCCGGGAGGGGCGCAUUCCCGGCCCCACAGCUCCCGGUGGGUUGGGGACCCCCCCCCCGUUGCGUUUUGGGGACCCCCAGGCGCACUCACCCUGCAGCCCCGCGUCCCUCUGCCGCUCCCAGCGCGUCCCCUCCUGCAGGGCGCUGCGUCCCACUGCCUCUCCGUGGGAGGGGGGGGUGCACCCAAAACACAGCAACAACCCCAAACCCGCAGCCCCCACUGGGGGUGGGGGGGGCCCAGAACGCGGCGCGGGGUUCAACCCAAAAAGGGGGGGGGGACCCUAAACCCCAAACCUGCGGCGUGCUGCUGCGUUGCUGCCUCUGCUCCGCAUCUCCCGACCCCCACAUUGCCCCCCCCAUGGCGUGGGGCGACCCUACAACCUUAUGGGGCGACCCUACAACCCUAUGGGGUGAGCCCAGGGGAGGGGGAUGGGACAGACAGUGAGGUGGGGGGGAGCACAGAAGGUGCAGCAGCAGAGGAGAAGUGCAGCGCCCAGCAGCAAUGCAGCGCCCAGCAGCAAUGCAUCGCUCAGCAGCAAUGCAGCAGCAGCAGCAGAAGUUGCUGCAGGGAUGCAAGGAUGCGUUGCUGGGGGGGUGCAGGGACGGAAUGCUGCAGAGAUGCAGGGGUGUGGAUGCAGGGCUGCAGGGAUGUGGAUGCAGGGCUGCAGGGCUGCAGGGCUGCAGAGAUGUGUGGGUGCAGGGCUGCAGGGCUUUGUGGAUGCAGGGUUUUGUGGAUACAAAGAUGCAGGGAUGUGGAUGCAGGGCUGCAGAGAUGCAGGGCUGCAGGGCUGUGGCUGCAGGGCUGUGGCUGCAGGGCUGCAGGGCUGCAGAGCAGGGCCGUACCUGAGAAGAAGUGCGCCUUGAAGCCCUUCUUGGACACGGUGUUGUCGGACUUGAACUCGAUGCGCAUGUUGUUGUACUGCGACGUGAUGACGGCCGGCCGCGCCGCGCCGCAGAACUUCCCGUGCAGCUUGGAGUCGGCCGUCAGCCCGCUGCGCACCUCCACAAAGUCGUACUUACACACCUGGGGGGCGGGGCGGCUGGGUGACACGGGGGGGUGACGGGGGG
rnacentral:lncRNA from 1 species